AGUAGGGAAUCUUCCGCAAUGGGCGAAAGCCUGACGGAGCGACGCCACGUGGAUGAUGAAGGCCUUCGGGUCGUAAAAUCCUGUCAGGGGGGACGAUGGUCGAUCUUCGGAUUGAUUGACGGUACCCUCAGAGGAAGCUCCGGCCAACUACGUGCCAGCAGCCGCGGUAAUACGUAGGGAGCAAGCGUUGUUCGGAUUUACUGGGCGUAAAGAGUGCGUAGGCGGUUAUAUAAGUCAAAGGUGAAAUCUUCACUUUCAAGGUGGAAACUGCCUCUGAUACUGUAUAACUAGAGGGCAAGAGGGGGAAAUGGAACUCUGGGAGUAGCGGUGAAAUGCGUAGAUAUCCAGAGGAACGCCGGUAGCGAAGGCGAUUUCCUGGCUUGCAUCUGACGCUGAGGCACUAAAGCUAGGGUAGCGAUCGGGAUUAGAGACCCCGGUAGUCCUAGCCCUAAACGAUGGGUACUAAGUGUGGGGGGAGCAUUACCCUCCGUGCUGAAGCUAACGCGUUAAGUACCCCGCCUGGGGAGUACGGUCGCAAGACUGAAACUCAAAAGAAUUGACGGGGGGCUGAACAAGCAGUGGAGCACGUGGUUUAAUUCGACGCAAAGCGAGGAACCUUACCAGGGUUUGACAUGCUAGUAGUAGUGACCUGAAAGGGAAGCGAUCCGGACUUCGGUUCGGAAGCUAGCACAGGUGGUGCAUGGCUGUCGUCAGCUCGUGCCGUGAGGUGUUGGGUUAAGUCCUUUAACGAGCGCAACCCUUGUCCUUAGUUACCAGCGGGUUAAGCCGGGUACUCUAAGGAGACCGCCGCCAGAAAGCGGAGGAAGGUGGGGAUGACGUCAAGUCCUCACGCCCCUUAUGUCCUGGGCUACACACGUGCUACAAUGGUCAAGACAAAAGGACGCAAAGGAGCGAUCCUGAGCAAAUCCCAAAAUUUGGCCCCAGUUCGGAUUGCAGGCUGCAAUUCGCCUGCAUGAAGCCGGAAUUGCUAGUAAUCGUGGAUCAGCAACGCCACGGUGAAUACGUUCUCAGCCCUUGUACACACCGCCCGUCACACCACCCGAGUUGGAUGCACCUGAAGAUACUUAACUAACCGAUUCUGUCGGAGGGAGAGUAUUGAGCGUGUGUUUGGCAAGGGGGAUG
rnacentral:rRNA from 1 species